GGUGGAUGGCCGAGCGGUCCAAGGCGCUGGUUUUAGGCACCAGUCUCUUCGGAGGCGUGGGUUCGAAUCCCACUUUCGUCA
rnacentral:tRNA from 1 species